GGAACCACCUUUCUCUCUCAACACCAAACCCACACCGUAUUCUUUUCCCUGUUUCAAAAUAACAUCAAAAAAGCAUUUACGUUCAAGCACCGCCACAGCACCUCGAACUCAACGAAGAUUUCCUACAAGGAAGCGACAACGAAGGCGACGACGAUGACAACAAAGAGAAAGCUUCAGGUUUGGAAUCUGGUUCGGAGUUGGAUUUUGAUUCGGGUAACGAAGAUGGUGAUAUUGAGAAGCAGUCUAAAGCUAUUGAUGAAGCAAGGGAGAGUGCUGGCUUCGUCUCCAAAUCAAUUUCAUUCUCCAAAAUCCGUAAACCAUCCCUUCGUGAUGACUUUGUUGCCACACUAG